rnacentral:lncRNA from 1 species
GAUCUACACACAGUGAUUUUUCAGCCCAGAAGCCUGAGUGCCCUGAGCCUGAUCUGGGCCACCCACAUGGUUGUUUUUUUUAUCCCUCAUACAGUCUUCCCAGUCGGUGGAGGGUUCAACUGGGUAAUUUGAUUGGUGGGUGGGCUGGGGCGGUGAGAGAACAAGACGCAGAAAAUAAUAGCGUGACCCUAGAAAAAGCGAGCAAGAGAGCUAGUUGCCAGUGCCCUCCCUCUGCGCACCAGAUGCUUGGUUCUACGUGUCACCUUCCCCUCUAGGCGCUGCAAGGGAGGUAACUUGGAUUCACCCAGGUGCCGGAGGGCUGGAACCAGGUGCCACUGGCCCUUGGGCUGCUGCGAGUCAAACUGUCCCCUCCCCCCUCGCUGGCAAAUGCCCCUGUCCAGGUUGCUGCGACUUUAAUGCGAAACCGAAAGCGAAAGGCACCGAAUCCACUGGAAUUAAAUUUCCCCAAACUCUUCUGCGGACUUUUCCAGGCGCCUGGGGCGGAUCCGCCGAGCCGGGACUUUGCGCCCUCACUCACAUGCCCCCCUUUCUGCUGCCUUUCGGGGCUGAAACGUCCCCAGCCUGAUACCCUAAUGAAGCUGCCUACGUCCCGGCCCCAGCCGCCGCCGCCGGGGAUCUGACCCUGCGCCCCCGUCCUGGAGAGGCUGGCGCCCUUCCCUAGCUCUUCCCAUGCCAUGGCCCGGCUGCUGCUCUUGUUGUGCGGCAGCGUCGGGCUCCUGUCCGCCUGCACCAGCGCGGCCGCGCUGCAAGAAAGAUGCAGCACACCAAAGGAGGUCAACAAUGCAGAUGUUACGGUCGGCAAUAAUAAUCUGUUGAAUGCCAGCCUCCGGUACACAUGCAAAGAUGGUUACAAAAGGAAAGCUGGGACAUCCAGUCUCAUUGUGUGUGUAAUGGACAAAGUCACCAAAACACUCCGUUGGACCGAGCCAAAUCUACAUUGUAUUAGGGACCCUGCUCUACCUCCUGUAACUUCCAGCCCCAAACAGACAACAUCAGCACCUAGGACAGAGGCGACUAGUCUUGUCAGCAAAGUUUCCGCCCGAGUUAUGCUCUCUUCUGUGGGGUUUCCCAUGUUGCUGACCGUUGUAGCUGUUGUAUUAUGUUGUGUCUGGAGACGGCGAGUCCACAUGAGGCGACAAUACACAAUACCUGUGAUAGCCAUUCCCAUGACCACAGAAGAGUCAGAAGAAAGGGAUGGAACACCACCAGAAGACAAUGGUUCAAACGGUCCAGAACAACGAAGUGAAAGGACAGAGAUGAUGUCAUCAUCUUGUGUGACAUCGACUGGUUGA